rnacentral:rRNA from 1 species
CCUACGGGUGGCAGCAGUGAGGAAUAUUGGUCAAUGGUCGGGAGACUGAACCAGCCAAGCCGCGUGAGGGAUGAAGGUACAGAGUAUCGUAAACCUCUUUUGUCAGGGAACAAAGGCGGGGACGUGUCCCCGGAUGAGUGUACCUGAAGAAAAAGCAUCGGCUACCUCCGUGCCAGCAGCCGCGGUAAUACGGGGGAUGCGAGCGUUAUCCGGAUUUAUUGGGUUAAAGGGGUGCGCAGGCGGUCUGUUAAGUCAGCGGUAAAAGCCCGGGGCUCAACCCCGGCCCGCCGUUGAAACUGGCAGUCUCGAGUGGGAGAGAAGUAUGCGGAAUGCGCGGUGUAGCGGUGAAAUGCAUAGAUAUCGCGCAGAACUCCGAUUGCGAAGGCAGCAUGCCGGCUCCACACUGACGCUGAGGCACGAAAGCGUGGGUAGCGAACAGGAUUAGAUACCCGAGUAGUC